CACGUAGGGUGCGAGCGUUGUCCGGAAUUAUUGGGCGUAAAGAGCUCGUAGGCGGUGUGUCGCGUCGGCCGUGAAAACCUGCAGCUUAACUGUGGGCUUGCGGUCGAUACGGGCAUCACUGGAGUUCGGCAGGGGAGACUGGAAUUCCUGGUGUAGCGGUGAAAUGCGCAGAUAUCAGGAGGAACACCGGUGGGCGAAAGGCGGGGUCUCUGGGCCGAUACUGACGCUGGAGGAGCGAAAGCCGUGGGGAGCGAACAGG
rnacentral:rRNA from 1 species